GUGCUCUUUUCAGCAGCACAUACAUUAAAACUGGAAAGAUACAGAGAUUAACAUGGCCCCUGUACAAGGGUAACAAAAAUUCAUGAAGCAUUCCAUAUUUUU
ensembl:snRNA U6 U6 spliceosomal RNA